rnacentral:rRNA from 1 species
GUAAGAGGGCGUGGGCGUGGUGCUGAAGCCUUGACGUGAGUCUCGUGGAACCGCGCCCAGUGCAGAUCUGGUGGUAGUAGCAAUUAUUCAAAAUGAAAAAUUUUGAAGGCCGAAAGUGGAGAAGGGUUCCAUGAAAACAGUGCUUGGUCAUGGGUUACUCGAUCCUAAGGCAAUGCAGAAAACGCGUGGAAUACAGUGUUUAACUGUGCUGCCAAAAGGGAAUGAGGUUAAUAUUCCUCAAGCUGGCGGUGGAUGCAUGUGGCAACACGAACGAACUCGGAGACGUCGGCGCGUACUUCUGGAAGAGUUCUCUUUUCUUCUUAACUCCCCACAAGGCCAUGGAAUUGGAUCACCCAGAGAUAUGGCUUUGGAGGAGGUAGAGCAGUCCACCUUCAGGACUGUCAGGAGCGUUCGCGACGACCCUUGAAAAUCCGAGGGAGAUAUCACUCGCACCCCAGGUCGUACCAACAACCGCAUCG